CCUACGGGCGGCAGCAGUGGGGGAUAUUGCACAAUGGGGGAAACCCUGAUGCAGCGACGCCGCGUGUGGGAAGACGGUCCUCUGGAUUGUAAACCACUGUCCCCAGGGACGAAGAUGACGGUACCUGGGGAGGAAGCUCCGGCUAACUACGUGCCAGUAGCCGCGGUAAUACGUAGGGAGAGAGCGUUGUCCGGAAUUACUGGGUGGAAAGGGAGCGUAGGCUGGACUGCAGGUUGGGUGUCAAAUCUACCGGCUCAACCGGUAGCCGCACUCAAAACUGCAGUUCUUGAGUGAAGUAGAGGCAGGCGGAAUUCCUAGUGUAGCGGUGAAAUGCGUAGAUAUUAGGAGGAACACCAGUGGCGAAGGCGGCCUGCUGGGCUUUUACUGACGCUGAGGCUCGAAAGUGUGGGGAGCAAACAGGAUUAGAUACCCGUGUAGUC
rnacentral:rRNA from 1 species